rnacentral:rRNA from 1 species
UAGGGAAUUUUCGUCAAUGGGCGCAAGCCUGAACGAGCAAUGCCGCGUGAACGAGGAAGGUCUUCGGAUCGUAAAGUUCUGUUGAAGGGGAAAAAGAGCGGAGAGAGGAAAUGGUCUCCGAUUGAUAUUACCCUUCGAGGAGGUCACGGCUAACUACGUGCC